AGAGUUUGAUCCUGGCUCAGAAUCAACGCUGGCGGCGCGCCUAACACAUGCAAGUCGAACGAGAAAGUGGAGCAAUCCAUGAGUACAGUGGCGUACGGGUGAGUAACACGUGGGUAAUCUACCUCUUAGUGUGGAAUAACCCUGGGAAACCGGGGCUAAUACCGCAUAAUCCCGAGAGGGGAAAGUCGAAAGACGCUGAGAGAGGAGCCCGCGGCCGAUUAGCUAGUUGGUGAGGUAAGAGCUCACCAAGGCAAAGAUCGGUAGCCGGCCUGAGAGGGCACACGGCCACACUGGCACUGAAACACGGGCCAGACUCCUACGGGAGGCAGCAGUGGGGAAUCUUGCACAAUGGGGGAAACCCUGAUGCAGCGACGCCGCGUGAGCGAUGAAGCCCUUCGGGGUGUAAAGCUCUUUCGGCAGGGAAGAUGAUGACGGUACCUGCAGAAGAAGCUGCGGCUAACUACGUGCCAGCAGCCGCGGUAAUACGUAGGCAGCAAGCGUUGUUCGGAGUUACUGGGCGUAAAGAGUGUGUAGGCGGUUCGCCAAGUUCGGUGUGAAAUCUCCCGGCUUAACUGGGAGGGUGCGCCGAAAACUGGCAGGCUUGAGUGCGGGAGAGGAGAGCGGAAUUCCUGGUGUAGCGGUGAAAUGCGUAGAGAUCAGGAGGAACACCUGCGGUGUAGACGGCUCUCUGGACCGCAACUGACGCUGAGACACGAAAGCGUGGGUAGCAAACAGGAUUAGAUACCCUGGUAGUCCACGCCCUAAACGAUGCACAUUUGGUGUGGGCAGUUCAUUCUGUCCGUGCCGUAGUUAACGCGUUAAAUGCGCCGCCUGGGGAGUACGGUCGCAAGACUGAAACUCAAAGGAAUUGACGGGGACCCGCACAAGCAGCGGAGCAUGUGGUUUAAUUCGAAGCAACGCGAAGAACCUUACCAAGGCUUGACAUCCCUUGACAGCCAUAGAAAUAUGGUUUCCCUUCGGGGCAAGGAGACAGGUGGUGCAUGGUUGUCGUCAGCUCGUGUCGUGAGAUGUUGGGUUAAGUCCCAUAACGAGCGCAACCCUUAUCAUUAGUUGCCAGCACGUAACGGUGGGAACUCUAAUGAAACUGCCGGGGAUAACUCGGAGGAAGGUGGGGACGACGUCAAAUCAUCAUGCCCCUUAUGUCUUGGGCUACACACGUGCUACAAUGGCCGGUACAAAGAGCAGCAAAUCCGCAAGGUGGAGCGAAUCUCAAAAAACCGGUCUCAGUUCGGAUUGUGGGCUGCAACCCGCCCACAUGAAGCCGGAGUUGCUAGUAAUCGCGAAUCAGCAUGUCGCGGUGAAUGCGUUCCCGGGUCUUGUACACACCGCCCGUCACACCACGGAAGUUGGGAGUGCCCGAAGCCAGUGAGCUAACCGCAAGGAGGCAGCUGUCGAAGGCAAGAUCAAUGACUGGGGUGAAGUCGUAACAAGGUAUCC
rnacentral:rRNA from 1 species